UACGGAAGCAGCAGGGGGAAUAUUGCACAAUGGGCGCAAGCCUGAUGCAGCCAUGCCGCGUGUAUGAAAAAGGCCUUCGGGUUGUAAAGUACUUUCAGUCGUGAGGAAGGUGUUAAGGUUAAUAACCUUAGCAAUUGACGUUAGCGACAGAAGAAGCACCGGCUAACUCCGUGCCAGCAGCCGCGGUAAUACGGAGGGUGCGAGCGUUAAUCGGAAUUACUGGGCGUAAAGGGCACGCAGGCGGUUAAUUAAGUUGGAUGUGAAAUCCCCGGGCUUAACCUGGGAAUGGCAUUCAAGACUGGUUAGCUAGAGUCUUGUAGAGGGGGUAGAAUUCCAUGUGUAGCGGUGAAAUGCGUAGAGAUGUGGAGGAAUACCGGUGGCGAAGGCGGCCCCUGGACAAAGACUGACGCUCAUGUGCGAAAGCGUGGGGAGCAAACAGGGAUUAGAUACC
rnacentral:rRNA from 1 species